rnacentral:rRNA from 1 species
AUGAAACCAAAUAAAGCACCAGGACCAGAUAAUAUCCCCAUUGAAUUUUUCCAACAUUGCUGGGAAAUAGUAAAAAACGAGAUGAUGCUCCUGUUUAAGUGGUUUCAUGACGAUAAGCUAGAUGUGCAGCGCUUGAAUUAUGGGAUCAUCACUCUACUACCUAAAGUUGCUGGUGCUAAUAAAAUUCAGCGGUUUCGCCCCAUAUGCUUGCUGAGAUGCAUUUAUAAACUAAUCACUAAGGUGCUUACUAUUAGACUAGAACCUUAUGUUGAUAUCCUCUUUAGUAGACACCAAAAUGCUUUUAUUAAGAAAAGAGAUAUAAUGGAUGGAAUCAUGUCUUUACAUGAAAUUCUCCAUCAUACUUAUAGUAAGAAAAAAUCUGGGAUCGUGUUGAAACUAGACUUCGAGAAAGCUUACGACAAAGUUAACUGGGAUUUCCUGUUAAACUGUCAUAAGAUGAGGGAGUUUCAUCCACAGUGGAUUGAAUGGGUAAGGAAAAUCCUGGUAGGAGGCACAGUUAGUGUGAAGUUGAAUGACGAGGUGGGGCCCUAUUUUUAA